rnacentral:telomerase_RNA from 1 species
GCGCGCGAGGCUUGGCGUGGAGGGUUGAGGAUGGCGCCCCCGGGUCGGGCAGUGGUCUUUUUUGUUCUAACCCUAACUGGCAAGGGCGUAGGUGCUGUGCUUUUGUUCCCCGCGCGUUGUUUUUCUCGCUGACUUUCAGCGGGCGGGAAAAGCCCUGGCCUACCGCCGUCUACCGAUAGUUUGGAGCAAACAAAAAAAUGUCAGCCGCUGGCCGCUCACCCCUCCCGGGAACCUGUGGUGGCUCGCCCGCCCAGCCCCGCGCCCCGCCUGGAGGCCGCGGUCGGCCUGGGGCUUCUCCGGAGGUUCCCAUUGCCGCCGCGAAGAGUUAGGCUCUGUCAGCCGCGGGUCCUGCGGGAACCAAGGGCGAGGCUUAGGCCUCCUGAACGCAGGGAGAGAAAUGGAGCGAUUCCCCGAGUACGUGUGCUUCCCUGAGUUGUGGGAUGUGCGUCCGGGACUCAGCUCCGACAGGU